CGAAUGCGCACCAUGCACCAAAUGCGUGCAGCAUGCGUAGUGCACACCAAAAGGAGGCUUGGGAAGACUAUAAGAAGCACCGGCGUAUAAGAUGCACCAAGAUUUCGAAGAGGAAGACAAGGGGAAAAAAUGGGUUUUGGCCUCCGUGCAUCCAGUUUUUGCCCUCCCCAGCCACCAGGAGCACUCUGCAGGCCUCCCAAACUCUCUGCGCAUUUCAUUUUUGCAAAAAAAAUAGGCCUUUUUUUUGGCAAAAACAGGACAUGCGGGGUGGAGUUUCAGGAGGCUAUAUUUCAGGAGGUUAUAUUCAGUGUAUAAGACGCACCAAUAUUUCCACUCUCUUAUGGAGCGGGGGAAAGUGCGUCUUAUACUCCGAAAAGUAUGGUAGUUCUGAGAAGUCAGGAAAAAAAAGUCAACUCUAAUUACAGUACAAGGAACAAACUUCAUUUCAAAGAAUUCCUUCCUCCAGGCUGCCUCAGCAUAAACCAGGAUUUGAUAUGCAAUGUGGAAUAGCUCAAAAGGUUCUUUUAAUAAGUUGACAAGAAUCUUUAACAAAUUGAGUCAUUUCUUAACAAUUUCAAACAUCUAUGUCUCUGCUAACAGAAUGUAUUCAGAGUUGUUAGGUGGGUCUUCCCCGGUCCCUUAUGUAAAAUUAAAAAAAGAUUAAAUAAAACAGAGGAAGGGCCCAGAUUAACGUCAUGCUGGGUCAAAGCUUUAAUGGAGGUUCUUGACAGACUCAAUCAUUGGGCAGUAUCCAGCAAGAUGCAGUUCAGUGAUGAGAAAACUAAGAUCCUGCACUCAGGUAGAAAGAACCAAAUGUAUAGGUAUGGAAUAGGCAGGGCCAUCUUAACGGCGUUAUGGGCCCCGGGCAGGGGUGGGUUGUCGAACCCCGGCCAGGACUCACCAUCGCUGGGGACCUGGGACUGGUUGGAGCGCCCACCUGACUACCUAUGAUGGUGGGGACGGCUCCAUGCAGCAGCCAGCAGCCGAAGCGACACAGCCUUCCGAGAACUACCGGCCUAUGACGUUGUGGCUGCGCCGUCGGGAUCGUCACAGCGCUCAACAGCUGAUGUGGGGAGGGGGAAUUUUGACUUUUGAAUGCCGGAUGGUAGUUUAGGAGCCGGGGAGGAAAUAAAUAGCGCUGCGCGGCGGUUGCGUGCAGCGCUGACUUAAACCCCGUGAUCCGGCUCGUUCUGUUCUUCUUGCUGUGUUGCUGCUAGACUCCGAUUAAACAAUUGUUGCUUGA